AUGAUCACGAAAGGGAAACGUUUGGAGCGAAUUCAGGACGCUGAGGCAGCCACAACAGUGCACCUGAAGACACUCAGGAAAGAGGACUCCAGAACUGCUUCGGAAAGUGGCAGGAGUGGUGAGAUCUCGUGGCAUAAAGAGCACCUGCUGCUUGGAAGCCCUUGCUUUGGAAGAUGCAGCUGCUCCGUGCGUUCCUGGUUGUGCUCCCUCUGGGUGCCAGGGUCAGGGCUGAGUGUCCUGGAAGAUGUAGCUGUGAGUCCCCACAGUCGUUACAAUGCUGCAGACUCACAGAGGGGCCAGCGGGCAUCCCUGCCACCACCACAAGGCUCUACAUCAGCCACAGCAAGAUCCAGCACCUCCAGGUAACUGGGCUCUUCGCUACUCUGGCCCUGCGGUUUGGUUUUGUGAGACAGGUUGUGGGCAAGUGACUUAAAUGAUCAUAACUUAAAAGAGCUGUUAGCAGCCCGGCAGCCCUGCCACCUGCUUGUUCGCUGUGUGCUACUGGCGUAGUGUAGGCCUCCUGAGUUUCUUUUUAGGGAAGUACCCCCAUGUGAGAAUCUACAGUUAAUGAUUUUUAUCUCAACUCCUGUUUUUAAAACUGUUGUUGCAAAGUAAAAGAAGAUCUCUUUCUUAACAACAAAUCAGAAAGCCCACAUUGCCAUUUUAUGUCCCCAGUACUAGGAAUAAGUUCUCUCACGGGGAAAAAAAAGCUCUAUUUUAUGCCAUAAUGGCAGAUGAUAAAGCAUCGUAAGGCCAUCAAGAUGAACCUACUUGUUUCACACAAAUGCGCAGACCAGACAGGUAUCGCUGUCUCUUUGGAAACUGACAUAGAGGAAAUGCGUGGGAUUUUUCUGUGGUGCAGAUUACUGAAAAUUAUCACUUUAUGUGCUUUGAAUUCUGACUUUUUAUUUUCAUGCUCACCUAUUCUGAGG
rnacentral:lncRNA from 1 species